UACUUUUGUCCAAAGUCAAACUUCUCUAACUUCGACCGAGUUUAUAUAAAAAUGCACCGGCAUCUACAGUAAAAACUAAAUACACUAUCAAUACAUAUUUCAUGGUGGAUUUAAUGAAACUAAUUUGAUGUUGUAAGUGUUGGUGUAUUUUUUUUUUUUUGGUAAACUCAGUCAAAGUUUGAGAGGUUUGACUUAGGAAAAAACUAA
rnacentral:pre_miRNA from 1 species